AAGACCUUCUACUGGUUACUUGUCCUUCCCGUACUACUUUGCGUCCUUCUUUACCCUGUCUUUUCCCUAGGAAGCUGAUUGCUAUGAACCACAUGAAGAUGCUGCCGUGUCUUCUGAUUCUGAGAAGAUAUAUUUUUGUCUUAUUCCCUUCCCACCAGGAUAUGGCUUUGCCAAUAUCUGUGCACCUGUUUCUGGAAAAAGUUUCUGUCAGAAGCUGCAGGAAUCUGCUCCCAAAUUCCAAGCUGUAGCAGCCAAAUCAACCAAGCACCAGGAGACUUUUCCAAAGUUCUAAGGCCUUGGAGAUUAUGCAUUAGAAGGUGAACAAGUACUACCAGAAGAGACUGUUCCUCAUUCUUUGGAUAAUAUGCUGUGAAGAACUUGAGAAACCAUUUUAUGGCUGCAUAAAUGUGAUCUGGGAGAUCAAGGAAACACAAAACACCUGGAUCCUUGAUGCCCUCCUGGGCCUCUAAGUUGCCGAUUCCAGGGCCUCUACAAAAGCAGUGGGAUCGACGGGGGUAUAACGUCUUCUACUGUCUGCGCUCAGUUUCAGCAAUGGCUGCUUAAUAUAACAAAUAAAUAAAUAAAUACAUAAAUAAAAGCUA